UUUUAAAGUCCUGUGAGUGUGUUCUUCACUCUGGCUGAGACCAUCAAACGUGACGAUCUCAGCCAAUCCAAUGCUUUCCCAUAGAAAAGCAUUGGGAGGCUAUUGUGUAUGUGUAGAAAAAAACUGCGCGGUCAAUCCGCAUCUCCAUGCAGACCCAAUCUAAUACACUGCCCCCUCCACCCAUUCUAAUACAUUGCCCCCAAAUCCAAUACACUGCCCCCCUCCCUCCACUCUUAUACUAUGCCA